rnacentral:rRNA from 1 species
UACGGAGGAUGCGAGCGUUAUCCGGAUUUAUUGGGUUUAAAGGGUGCGUAGGCGGGAUGCCAAGUCAGCGGUAAAAAUGCGGUGCUCAACGCCGUCGAGCCGUUGAAACUGGCGUUCUUGAGUGGGCGGGAAGUAUGCGGAAUGCGUGGUGUAGCGGUGAAAUGCAUAGAUAUCACGCAGAGCUCCGAUUGCGAAGGCAGCAUACCGGCGCCCUACUGACGCUGAGGCACGAAAGCGUGGGUAUCGAACAGG